UUAUAAUUGCAGUAAUAUGAGGCGUUCAGGUGGUAGUACAUUGUCAAGAUUUGGAGCAUAUGGGAUAUACAGUUGCUAUAAUAAGCAACUUCAUUUCCUCUAUAUAAAAAGCAUGAAACAUUUUGCUUUUUUUCAUUUCAAAACCAGUGCCUCGAAUAGCGUAGUUCGGAGUAAAUUUGAUGUAAUUUUUUAUAAGCAAGUGUUCUUUGUACACAAUUGUGAGCGUAAUUACAGUGCUAGUUGGAAUGUAGUGAUAUACAUUUAAAUGCGUCAAGUUUUUGGAUAUAAUAAAAGUGGAAGUAUUUAAAUAUUCUUUUUAUUCAACGGCAAAAGUGUAACAGUUGACAGAUAUUUUCAUAAAUUGGAUUUUAUUAAUUGGUUUUUGACAUGGUUUAAGGCUGAAUAUACAUAUUGAUAGAACAAUGUAUUUUUUAUAGUUUUUUUCAAAAUUGUUAUUUGAUGUAUUUGCAUUCAGUAAAAUUUAAACAGUUCUCAAUUUAGAAUUCUUAUCGGCGAUAUUGCAGAUUUAUGUGUUAAUGUGUUCUAAUGGCUGGUUAAAAUGUGAGUGUUCUCUAGUUAUGUUCAUUUCCAUUUAAAAGAAAAACAGAUAAAAUGUGUUACCUCUUUCAGCUGCAUUUGGAAAUUUUCAAAAGCGUUUGAUAACACAAAUGUUCUAUGCACAUUAGGAACAAGGUGCUUUCUAGGUGAACUACAGGGUAAAUUCAAAACGGGGAACCAUGACAACAUCCAACUUUAGGAUAUAUCAACCAAAGGAACGCAUAUGCGUAAAAACAACUGCCAUAACCUGACUUGGUACAGGCACUAAUGUCAAAGUUCACAUAUCAAAAAGGUUAAUGGUUCAUAUAAAGAACAAAUAUUAUAUUUCAAAUAAUUCUCAUUGCAGGACAGAAACUGCUGAGUUCAGCCUUCUUUAAAAUGCUGUUCAUGUUUCAUUUUCUGUGUAGAGUCUUAAACUGUUGUGGUUUUUGUCAUGGGUUUGUCUGUCUUUUGCGACUACUGGUUUGAAAUUGUUCCCUUGGUAUUUUCUAUCCUUUUUUCCAUGUCAGACAAUGUAUGUUGAAGAUAUAAUGUUUAUUGCCCGAGUAACUUUGUAUGAACUUAUCAUUCCUCUUGAAUGUUAACCAUUUGUAAUGCUCAAUGGUACUUUAUAUUUAUUAGAUACUAUCAUAUAAUAAAAUUUUAAUAGAUAUUUUGGUUAUUUAAAUUCUAUUUAUCAACCGAAUUUUAUGUUUUUGGCUAAUUAUUGAUAUCUCUGGAUUGAAAAAAGGUAUUUAUAGGCUAUUUUUUUUUCGAUAAAAAAGACAACAAACAUAUGAAUACCAUUACAAUGUUUUAUGUAUGCUGUGUUAUGUUACCAAUUCAAAGUUUUCCUACUCUUUCAAGUUUUCAUAUUUUUAAUAUUGUAAUCAACAACUGCAUCCGAGAUUGAAUUCGUUUGAAAAUUUACCUGUAUCAUAAUGUAUACUCUCGCUUUACAUAUUUGUUUAUUUGCAAUGAAAUUGACUAACUGAAAUUAAAGCUAAAUGUGUUGUUUUGAAUUUAAAAAAAAAUGAUAAAGGGAUAAAAACAGAAAACAUAAGACAUAAAAAAAACCUUCUUUGCUAACAUAUUGAUAUAUUUAUUAAUGUUAAACGCCACUUUCAGCACUCGAACGCAAACCUCAGCGUUGAUACGCUAGUGAACAAUGUAGAUGAAUAUUUGGAAUCUCAGAAUGGUCGAGUAAAAAUAUAGAAAUAGGAAUAGGAAUGGAAAUAUUAAUUUAUAAAAGGUUCAGAAUUAUCUAUUUUUACUCCCUAAACACGAAAAAUGAUAAUCAACAGUUAUUUUGUGUAUCCUUGACUAUUAUAAUUAUUAUUGUUCGUUUUUACAAUGAAUUGUUGACAUCUAGAAAUUCCUAGUUAACGAAAUUCCAAAUGACAAUUCAGGUUUUCCUAAGACUUAUGUGCAAAUUCAUUGACUUAAGAUGUCUGAAUAUUUCACAAAAAAACAUUGACGUCGAACACAUCUAAAUAAGUAAUCUUUUUGAAUUAUUAUAAUGAAAAUAAAUGAUGUGUAGGUUGACUAUUUAUUUUGGCUUAAAUAGAAUCCAUUUAUUUAGUUCUUAUGUCUAUCGAACACUCCUUUUGCUGUUCCAUUCAUGUUUUUUACUUAUUGUACAAUGAUAGCGAUAUUUCUGUUUUUUGAUUUUACACGAACUUAAUUACUAUUUAGGCAUGGUUAAAUUGAAAAGGUAACACUGCAAUUUUCUAGAAUCAUUCGAUCAAAUUGAAAAACAAUAUUCAAGACCCUUUAUUUGCAAUUUCAACAUAAAAUAAACAUUCACAAGUAUCUCUGGAUAAAUAAUAACUUAAAUGCAUUUACCUCUUGCUUUUGUUUGAGUGUGUGUCAUAUCAGUUUCAAAAGUUCAUCUUUAAGAAUAAUCUUUACUUACUUGUAUUUGGUCGUAUUUUAGGUCGUUGACCUUGGAUGGAUUUGGCUAUUUCUUUUGGGUAUUUUUGUCGUCUGGCUCUUCAGCUGUUUUGGUAUUUGUACAUCCCCUGAUUUCGGAUGUUUGGUUUUGGGCGUUCCUGAUGAGGGUGGGCCCAGAGGGGCGCUUCGGACGCAUUGAAUUAUUGAACGUGUUGUUUUCAAUUUUUUGAGUAGGAGGCAACAAUAGUUUACAGUUAUCAAAACUCAUAAAUAUAUUUUGAAAACACAAAGAAAGAGAAAAAGCUAGGCGAAAGAUACCAAAGGGAAAUUCAAACUCAUAAGUCGAAAAUAAACUUACAACGCCAUGGCUUAAAAAGAAAAAGACCAACAGACAAACAACAGUACACAAAAAACAACAUAGAAAACUAAAGACUGAGCAACACGAACCUCCCAAAAAACUUGGGGUGAUAUCAGGUGCUCCGGAAGGGUAAGUAGGUCCCGCUUCACAUGUGAUACCCGUCGUGUAGCUCAUGUUAGUACAAACCCGGUGAUAAGUCUAAUUCGGUAGGUCACAUUAGGGAAAAAGGGGAAAAGGGUGAAACCGGAUGCGUAUUGAUUUACAUCUAAUAUAUUUGGUCUCUGGUUAAUAGUUGUCUCCUUAGCUUUCAUACCACAUCUGCUUUUUAUUUCAUUUUUGUUGAAAUAUCAAUUAACUGAAUACGACUAAUAAAAUGGCGAUCAAAAAGUUUAGUUUUUUGUUGAUAUCUCCUUUGGUAAUUUUUGGGGUUAAAAUCAGUAUAGUUCUUCUAAAAGAUUUUUCGUAAAACAAGAAAUUUGUAUCUACAACUUUAAUUGAUACAAUAUACAAGGGUCUGAGUUUUAACGUAAAAAGAAUCUAAAAUAUAGGAAGGCUGCUAAAAAACUCCUCAAGGAUACCAUGCUUGUAAUUUGUUACGCCAGACGUGCGUUUCGUUUACAUAAGGCUCGUGAGUGGCGCUCGAAUUAAAUCAGUUGGAAGGCCUUAUCAAAAAGAAUGUUGACGGCAUAGAAAACCAAAUAACGAAAAUGUAACCAAAAAUACGGACAUAUGACUGGAGUAGAAAAUCCUAAGUGUUUCACGUUAAAAAAAAAUAGUGAGCAGAACAUUUAAUGAAAUUGACCGUAUCAUUGAUAUUUCACGCCAAGCAGUGGCAUUGACCCAGUGAUUUCAUUGAACUCAUCAAUGAUAACAGGCUAAUAAUUUAUUUAAACGAGAUUAUUAUUGUCAUAGCCAUGAUUCUAAAUGUCUUCUCGCUAUUAGAACAUCACAGAAUGUGACUUAUCAGCUGGUAUUCGUUUAUCAUGAGCAACACCAUUGGUCCCGUAAGUUGAGCAGAAUAUGAUUACCGUUGUAGAGUACCUGAGUAUACACAAGGUUUUUGUAGUGAUAAGAAUUUGUGUAUAUUAACGUAUCUUUCAUAAUAAUAUCACAAGAAAGAAUGUUUAAAACAACAAUUAUUAGUAUUUAGAAGUUCAAUCACUACAAAAGAUAUAAUUUUUAUGUUUGUGAAUGAUACUUGUACUAGCACUAAUAUUAUCAACAGUUCAAGUAUGUAAUUGUAAACAGAAUUAGAAACUAAACUAUCAAACAAUGAAAUAAAUAAAACAAUAUCAAUUUACACACCACAAGCAGUGAAAUAGUCAUAUAGGUAGAACUCCAGGGGGCUAAUGUGAUUACAUUUAUGGGAAUUUAAAAACAAUAGAAUUGUCACUUUGCAGGAGAUAUCUUAUCAAACAAUAGAGGAAACGGAGCGACCAACUUGGGUUCUAUAAAAGGCAGGCGAUUGUAAGCUUUUUUCAUAACACAUUUGUUGAUUUAUAACACUGACGAGGACCAAUCUUAGUAUAUCUCAAAAUGGUUUGCUACCAGAACACUGUUUCUUGUGCCAUUGUUGGUGAUGGAAUGGUUGGAAAGACCUGCCUUACUAAAAGAUUUGCUGGAAGCCAAUUCUCAGACAAAUAUGUUGCUACAGUUGCAGAAACGUCCACUGGAUCUGUGUCUGCUUACGGCGACAAAUACAGCGUCAAUAUCUAUGAGCAUGAAAAUCAGUCAGCAAGAUCAAAAACAAUAACAGAAUCUGAUGUCAUAGUGGUAUGCUACAGUGCAGUUGACAAAGAAUCAUUUGAAAACGUCAAAUCUUUUUGGAUUCCAAUGGUCAGAAAACUCAAUAAGAAGAAACCAAUUGUUUUAGUCGCUACCCAUAGUGACAUGCGUGAUGAAAAUAAUACCGACCAUGUAUCAGACUCUGAAGGACAAAACUUUAUGAAAUCAAUAAAUGCUGACUAUUACAACAAAUGUUCUGCUGCUACAAAUGAGGGAGUAAAGAAUGUCUUCGAAAGUGUCGUCUAUUAGACAUAGAAAGAAGAAAACCAAUGUGCUUAAACGUGUUUUCGCACGAUGAACUUGAACUUAUCUCUGCCCUGAGAUAAACCUAUAUUUUACACAUCUUGAACUGUGUUUAGAAUAGCAAAAUACUUGCUGUAAAAAGACAUUGAGAUAGGAGGAGUUGGAGAUGGAAUGUACCACUGGUGUACAUUCCAAAGACGGAUUGAAAUACUGCUGUCACAUUACAGUGAUUGUAACGGAGAAUAAGCAGUUCCCGUGAUGUUCAAGAGCACAAACUUAGAAAAACAAUAUGAAAUCAGUUAUGAUGAUGAACUUAAAGAGAAAAGGACUCAUUUAGUGAAAAGACACAAACAAUACAUGUAUGAUAUUGGAAACAUUAUAACAAUAAUUACUUUAAAAUUAUCUUACAUAAAAAAUAUUUGUUCUGUUAACUUUGUACUUAAUGAAGGAAUGUCAUGUAAAAAUUGUUACAAUCAGUAAAUGUUUUAUCCAAAUGGA